rnacentral:rRNA from 1 species
AUGAGAGUUUGAUCCUGGCUCAGGACGAACGCUGGCGGCGUGCCUAAUACAUGCAAGUCGAACGCUUCUUUCCUCCCGAGUGCUUGCACUCAAUUGGAAAGAGGAGUGGCGGACGGGUGAGUAACACGUGGGUAACCUACCCAUCAGAGGGGGAUAACACUUGGAAACAGGUGCUAAUACCGCAUAACAGUUUAUGCCGCAUGGCAUAAGAGUGAAAGGCGCUUUCGGGUGUCGCUGAUGGAUGGACCCGCGGUGCAUUAGCUAGUUGGUGAGGUAACGGCUCACCAAGGCCACGAUGCAUAGCCGACCUGAGAGGGUGAUCGGCCACACUGGGACUGAGACACGGCCCAGACUCCUACGGGAGGCAGCAGUAGGGAAUCUUCGGCAAUGGACGAAAGUCUGACCGAGCAACGCCGCGUGAGUGAAGAAGGUUUUCGGAUCGUAAAACUCUGUUGUUAGAGAAGAACAAGGACGUUAGUAACUGAACGUCCCCUGACGGUAUCUAACCAGAAAGCCACGGCUAACUACGUGCCAGCAGCCGCGGUAAUACGUAGGUGGCAAGCGUUGUCCGGAUUUAUUGGGCGUAAAGCGAGCGCAGGCGGUUUCUUAAGUCUGAUGUGAAAGCCCCCGGCUCAACCGGGGAGGGUCAUUGGAAACUGGGAGACUUGAGUGCAGAAGAGGAGAGUGGAAUUCCAUGUGUAGCGGUGAAAUGCGUAGAUAUAUGGA